UGAGGAAUAUUGGACAAUGGGGGCAACCCUGAUCCAGCAAUGCCAUGUCUGUGAAGAAGGCCUUAGGGUUGUAAAGCACUUUAGUUGGGGAGGAAAGCUUUGAGGUUAAUAGCCUUGAGGAGGGACGUUACCCAAAGAACAAGCACCGGCUAACUCCGUGCCAGCAGCCGCGGUAAUACGGGGGGUGCAAGCGUUAAUCGGAAUUACUGGGCGUAAAGGGUCUGUAGGUGGUUUGUUAAGUUAGAUGUGAAAGCCCAGGGCUCAACCUUGGAACUGCACUUGAUACUGGCAAACUAGAGUACGGUAGAGGAAUGGGGAAUUUCUGGUGUAGUGGUGAAAUGCGUAGAGAUCAGAAGGAACACCAAUGGCGAAGGCAACAUUCUGGACCGAUACUGACCCUGAGGGACGAAAGCGUUGGGAUCAAAC
rnacentral:rRNA from 1 species